rnacentral:lncRNA from 1 species
UUAAAGGCAGUGGGAAGGGAAGGGUCGCUCUCCAUUUCCUCCCCCCUCCCCAUCCUGCCUGUACCUGGUGGGUGUAAAAAAAAGGGGGGAGGAAGUCCUUUGGCUCUUGUCCUCCUUGGAAAGGUAAAAUCUCAAAAGGGGAGGCGGAUCUCUGAAAGAAACUCCAUCCUAGCCACCCCUUGGUGUCAGCUUGGGAGGACCUCCAAGUGCGGGGGGGGGAGGGGGGAGAGCUGGCCUGGGCAGGUGUUGUAGGGUUAGAGAAGAAAGAGUUGCUGCAAAGGGAGGGAGGAUUGCGAAUGUCUUCUGCAUGUCAUUUUCCUCUUCUCUCUGUCCAAAUUGCCCUUUAGGGACUCUAAAGAAGGGUUCCCGAUCCAGUUGCUCUCUCGGCUGCCUGAUCCGGCAGAGAGGAGAGCGGAUCCAUCUCAAGACCAGAUCUGGGGAUCCACGACAGGAGAGCGGAGAGAACAGAAGGCGGGACGGAACCGAUCUCUCCUCACUUUCCUUUGGACAGCAAGGGAAUAAGCUAAUUCCAAAUUGCUCCAACAUUUCCAAGGUAGGUGGAAUUGUCAUUCUUUAUUCAUAUCGUACAAUCGUGGAGUCGGAAGGGGCCUUUAAGGCCAAUGCGUCCAGCUAAAGCCAGGCAUCCGCAUUAAAGCAAAUCUGACCGAGAGUUGCCCGAUGUUUUCUUUCAGUGUCAUAGUGCUUUCCACCUCCCCCUGAGGUCAUUGGUUCCGUUGCUGCACUUUUCAAAUGGUUAAGAGGUUUUUUUUCCUGAUAUUUGGCUGAAAUCUGAUUUCCUGGAUCCGAAGCCCUGGAACCCACCCCCAUUUCACUGCCCGGUAGAUUUCCGAGCCAGCAUCUGUCACUCUGGGGUGACAGAUGCUGCCUCCACACUGUAUGAUGUGGCGUAUGACAGUCUUUGAAGUAUUGCAAGAGUGUGAUCCUGUCUCUAGGCUAUUAUGCCCAGUUCCUUCAGCCUUUCCUCUUAAGGCUUGGUUUUCAGUCCUUUGCGCCUCUUUGUCUCCAUCCUCUGAGCUGCUUCCAAUUUUCCUGCCUUGGAAUCCUAGCCUGUGCCAAACAGAGGGGACGUUGUGCUUUGUUUAUUUAUUUAUUUAAAAUCUUUUUAUCCCACCUUUCUCCUUAAUAAGAACCCAAGGCAGUUUACAUCAUUAAAAACAAUACAGUGGUGCCCCGUAUAGCAACGUUAAUCCGUUCCAGGAUUAACAUCGCUAUACAGAAACAUUUGUAAAGCGAAAUUAAAAAGCCCAUUGAAACGCAUUAAAACCUGGUUAUUGCAUUCCAAUGGAUUAAAAACUGGCAGGGACGGUGGGUGGGGGAUCCCGAAGGCUUCCAGGCAAAAGCCCCUCCACCCUGUCCCCGCCACCCCGCGCUGCCUUCCCUAGCCGAGAUUGGACUCCCAGGAGCCCGAUCCAGGCCGGGGAAAGCG